UGGGGGAUAUUGCACAAUGGGCGAAAGCCUGAUGCAGCGACGCCGCGUGGGGGAUGAAGGCUUUCGGGUUGUAAACCUCUUUCGCUAUCGAACAAGGCCCGCUUAGGGUGGGUUGAGGGUAGGUGGAGAAGAAGCGCCGGCUAACUACGUGCCAGCAGCCGCGGUAAUACGUAGGGCGCGAGCGUUGUCCGGAAUUAUUGGGCGUAAAGGGCUUGUAGGCGGCUUGUUGCGCCUGCUGUGAAAACGCGGGGCUUAACUUCGCGCGUGCAGUGGGUACGGGCAGGCUUGAGUGUGGUAGGGGUGACUGGAAGUCCUGGUGUAGCGGUGGAAUGCGCAGAUAUCUGGAGGAACACCGAUGGCGAAGGCAGGUCACUGGGCCAUUACUGACGCUGAGGAGCGAAAGCAUGGGUAGCGAACAGG
rnacentral:rRNA from 1 species